CACUAUCGUUAACUGAAUACAUAGGUUAACGAGGCGAACCGGGGGAACUGAAACAUCUAAGUACCCCGAGGAAAAGAAAUCAACCGAGAUUCCCCCAGUAGCGGCGAGCGAACGGGGAGCAGCCCAGAGUCUGAAUCAGCUUGUGUGUUAGUGGAACGGUCUGGAAAGUCCGACGGUACAGGGUGAUAGUCCCGUACACCAAAAUGCACAGGCUGUGAACUCGAAGAGUAGGGCGGGACACGUGGUAUCCUGUCUGAAUAUGGGGGGACCAUCCUCCAAGGCUAAAUACUCCUGACUGACCGAUAGUGAACCAGUACCGUGAGGGAAAGGCGAAAAGAACCCCGGCGAGGGGAGUGAAAAAGAACCUGAAACCGUGUACGUACAAGCAGUGGGAGCACCUUCGGGUGUGACUGCGUACCUUUUGUAUAAUGGGUCAGCGACUUAUAUUCUGUAGCAAGGUUAACCGUAUAGGGGAGCCGCAGGGAAACCGAGUCUUAACUGGGCGUUAAGUUGCAGGGUAUAGACCCGAAACCCGGUGAUCUAGCCAUGGGCAGGUUGAAGGUUGGGUAACACUAACUGGAGGACCGAACCGACUAAUGUUGAAAAAUUAGCGGAUGACUUGUGGCUGGGGGUGAAAGGCCAAUCAAACCGGGAGAUAGCUGGUUCUCCCCGAAAGCUAUUUAGGUAGCGCCUCGUGAACUCAUCUUCGGGGGUAGAGCACUGUUUCGGCUAGGGGGUCAUCCCGACUUACCAACCCGAUGCAAACUACGAAUACCGAAGAAUGUUAUCACGGGAGACACACGGCGGGUGCUAACGUCCGUCGUGAAGAGGGAAACAACCCAGACCGCCAGCUAAGGUCCCAAAGUCAUGGUUAAGUGGGAAACGAUGUGGGAAGGCACAGACAGCCAGGAUGUUGGCUUAGAAGCAGCCAUCAUUUAAAGAAAGCGUAAUAGCUCACUGGUCGAGUCGGCCUGCGCGGAAGAUGUAACGGGGCUAAACCAUGCACCGAAGCUGCGGCAGCGACACUAUGUGUUGUUGGGUAGGGGAGCGUUCUGUAAGCCUGCGAAGGUGUGCUGUGAGGCAUGCUGGAGGUAUCAGAAGUGCGAAUGCUGACAUAAGUAACGAUAAAGCGGGUGAAAAGCCCGCUCGCCGGAAGACCAAGGGUUCCUGUCCAACGUUAAUCGGGGCAGGGUGAGUCGACCCCUAAGGCGAGGCCGAAAGGCGUAGUCGAUGGGAAACAGGUUAAUAUUCCUGUACUUGGUGUUACUGCGAAGGGGGGACGGAGAAGGCUAUGUUAGCCGGGCGACGGUUGUCCCGGUUUAAGCAUGUAGGCUGAUUGUCCAGGCAAAUCCGGAUAAUCAAGGCUGAGGUGUGAUGACGAGGCACUACGGUGCUGAAGUAACAAAUGCCCUGCUUCCAGGAAAAGCCUCUAAGCAUCAGGUAACAUUAAAUCGUACCCCAAACCGACACAGGUGGUCAGGUAGAGAAUACCAAGGCGCUUGAGAGAACUCGGGUGAAGGAACUAGGCAAAAUGGUGCCGUAACUUCGGGAGAAGGCACGCUGGUGUGUAGGUGAAGUCCCUGCGGAUGGAGCUGAGACCAGUCGAAGAUACCAGCUGGCUGCAACUGUUUAUUAAAAACACAGCACUGUGCAAACACGAAAGUGGACGUAUACGGUGUGACGCCUGCCCGGUGCCGGAAGGUUAAUUGAUGGGGUUAUCCGUAAGGAGAAGCUCUUGAUCGAAGCCCCGGUAAACGGCGGCCGUAACUAUAACGGUCCUAAGGUAGCGAAAUUCCUUGUCGGGUAAGUUCCGACCUGCACGAAUGGCGUAAUGAUGGCCAGGCUGUCUCCACCCGAGACUCAGUGAAAUUGAACUCGCUGUGAAGAUGCAGUGUACCCGCGGCAAGACGGAAAGACCCCGUGAACCUUUACUAUAGCUUGACACUGAACAUUGAGCCUUGAUGUGUAGGAUAGGUGGGAGGCUUUGAAGCGUGGACGCCAGUCUGCGUGGAGCCAACCUUGAAAUACCACCCUUUAAUGUUUGAUGUUCUAACGUUGGCCCCUGACCGGGGUUGCGGACAGUGUCUGGUGGGUAGUUUGACUGGGGCGGUCUCCUCCCAAAGCGUAACGGAGGAGCACGAAGGUUAGCUAAUCCUGGUCGGACAUCAGGAGGUUAGUGCAAUGGCAUAAGCUAGCUUGACUGCGAGCGUGACGGCGCGAGCAGGUGCGAAAGCAGGUCAUAGUGAUCCGGUGGUUCUGAAUGGAAGGGCCAUCGCUCAACGGAUAAAAGGUACUCCGGGGAUAACAGGCUGAUACCGCCCAAGAGUUCAUAUCGACGGCGGUGUUUGGCACCUCGAUGUCGGCUCAUCACAUCCUGGGGCUGAAGUAGGUCCCAAGGGUAUGGCUGUUCGCCAUUUAAAGUGGUACGCGAGCUGGGUUUAGAACGUCGUGAGACAGUUCGGUCCCUAUCUGCCGUGGGCGCUGGAGAAUUGAGGGGGGCUGCUCCUAGUACGAGAGGACCGGAGUGGACGCAUCACUGGUGUUCGGGUUGUCAUGCCAAUGGCACUGCCCGGUAGCUAAAUGCGGAAGAGAUAAGUGCUGAAAGCAUCUAAGCACGAAACUUGCCCCGAGAUGAGUUCUCCCUGAGACUUUAAGUCUCCUGAAGGAACGUUGAAGACGACGACGUUGAUAGGCCGGGUGUGUAAGCGCAGCGAUGCGUUGAGCUAACCGGUACUAAUGAACCGUGAGGCUUAACCUU
rnacentral:rRNA from 1 species